CGAACGUCGCACAUCGUGAGGGACCUUUUGUAGUUACAUGUGAUUUUCUUGUAGCCCACAAGUCACCAACAUUUAAAAGUUUAAGUAACCAUGUGUUUCUUAUGCUAAGCUCCGAGAUAUUAUGAUUCUGAGGCUCUGUACAAAGUUUGGCACCACGUAUCAAUAUUUGUGAAAUUAUUGGAUUGUAAUGUUCAUGACAUAAAAGCUUUUAUGCGAGGCUCCUUUAAUCUGAUAAUUGUGGUGAAAAGUUAUAGAUCAUGAUUGAUUCACACCAAUUCCCUCACCAUUAG
rnacentral:lncRNA from 1 species